rnacentral:rRNA from 1 species
UAGGGAAUCUUCCGCAAUGGGCGAAAGCUUGACGGAGCAACGCCGCGUGAGUGAUGAAGGUCUUCGGAUCGUAAAACUCUGUUAUUAGGGAAGAACAAAUGUGUAAGUAACUAUGCACGUCUUGACGGUACCUAAUCAGAAAGCCACGGCUAACUACGUGCCAGCAGCCGCGGUAAUACGUAGGUGGCAAGCGUUAUCCGGAAUUAUUGGGCGUAAAGCGCGCGUAGGCGGUUUUUUAAGUCUGAUGUGAAAGCCCACGGCUCAACCGUGGAGGGUCAUUGGAAACUGGAAAACUUGAGUGCAGAAGAAGAAAGUGGAAUUCCAUGUGUAGCGGUGAAAUGCGUAGAGAUAUGGGGGAACACCAGUGGCGAAGGCGGCUUUCUGGUCUGUAACUGACGCUGAUGUGCGAAAGCGUGGGGAUCAAACAGG